CAUUUUGAGCUUCCAAGUGGCGUCAGCUUUUUUACAUCAAUCUAAGCUUUCGCUUUUUGAUAAGUGGCGCUCACAAUCUGAAUUCUCCUCCAAACAUCGGAGAUUUCUAUUUGUACGAACUUGAGAGCUCGGUUUGACAUGCAAUGCGCAUGAUAGGCAAGUCUAUGCUAAAAUCACAAGGAUUUGACAUUUAUUUGGCACAAAUCAUCAAUAUGAACUAAAAUUGUGUGUUCUUAUUCAACCGAGAGAAAAAAAACGAUCAGCUAAACAAGGCCUAUAAACUAUUUUUUUCAAUGUGUACACAAGUAUGAAAUCAUUUAAAAAAAAAUUCUUUAAAAAAAAUGGUUUAGUCAAUUAUACACGCGUUUUUGUUACAAGAUAAUGCAACUUAUUUAAAAUUUGUGGAUAGAAAUGUGUAUGCAAAUUAAGGACACUUUAACCCUGCGGAAUAUGAAGUCAGAGGGCAUGGCCAACAACCACAAAACAGCCGUGUGUUCCCAUCUCCACAGUCCGCAGAGAGGAACGUGCAACUAAAAAAAGAGAUGGGAAAAGUUUCUAAAAAUUGAAUAUUCGUACAUUUCCUGCAUUCAUUGCCUUGGAUUUCUCAGGAGUCAAAGACAGAGGUUCGAAAUUAAAGCUCACAAAUACACAGAGGCUUGCGCACGGUGAGUCUCCAGGUGUACAUGUGGCACAGUGGCGCUCUUGAGGACGCAUUCCAGCCUGUGAUGAGGUGAAAGGUCCAACGCAAGUGACAGAGCACUUAAACAACCUUUCUUCUGCUGCCUCCCGCAAUUAAUGUUAUUGAAGGACUGAAAUGAUGCUAAUAGUUAGGCAGAAAGCCUCUGGCUGUGUGGAAACACAUGCAUAUACUCAGUUUGUCAUUGCAUUUUUAUCAUCGCGUUUAUAAAAUGUGUAAGUUAAGCAGAAUUCCCUGCAGUGAUUUCAAAUGAGGUAAGGACUGAAUGAAUGAUAAUAAAAUAAUUAGCCCUUGGAAGUGUUUUAA